AUCCUUUCAUAGUUCAAAGGCAUGACAUUUUAAGUUUUCACACACACGAGAUGUGCCUCCCUUGAACGUUGUCAUGACAUCAGUAUAUUACCAUCUGACA